AUUGAACGCUGGCGGAAUGCUUUACACAUGCGAGUCGAACGGCAGCAUAGGUUCUUGCACCUGAUGGCGAGUGGCGAACGGGUGAGUAAUACAUCGGAACGUGCCCAGUCGUGGGGGACAACGUAGCGAAAGUUACGCUAAUACCGCAUACGAUCUAAGGAGGAAAGGGGGGGACCGUAAGGCCUUGCGCGAUUGGAGCGGCCGAUGUCAAAUUAGGUAGUUGGUGAGGUAAAGGCUCACCAAGCCGACGAUCUGUAGCUGGUCUGAGAGGACGACCAGCCACACUGGGACUGAGACACGGCCCAGACUCCUACGGGAGGCAGCAGUGGGGAAUUUUGGACAAUGGACGCAAGUCUGAUCCAGCCAUUCCGCGUGCAGGACGAAGGCCUUCGGGUUGUAAACUGCUUUUGUACGGAACGAAAAAGCUCUUACUAAUACUAGGAGUCCAUGACGGUACCGUAAGAAUAAGCACCGGCUAACUACGUGCCAGCAGCCGCGGUAA
rnacentral:rRNA from 1 species